rnacentral:rRNA from 1 species
CCUACGGGAGGCAGCAGUGAGGAAUAUUGGUCAAUGGGCGCGAGCCUGAACCAGCCAAGUAGCGUGAAGGAUGACUGCCCUACGGGUUGUAAACUUCUUUUAUAAAGGAAUAAAGUGAGGCACGUGUGCCUUUUUGUAUGUACUUUAUGAAUAAGGAUCGGCUAACUCCGUGCCAGCAGCCGCGGUAAUACGGAGGAUCCGAGCGUUAUUCGGAUUUAUUGGGGUUAAAGGGAGCGUAGAUGGGUUGUUAAGUCAGUUGUGAAAGUUUGCGGCUCAACCGUAAAAUUGCAAUUGAUACUGGCAGUCUUGAGUACAGUAGAGGUAGGCGGAAUUCGUGGUGUAGCGGUGAAAUGCUUAGAGAUCAUACAGAACACCGAUUGUGAAGGCAGCUUACCAAACUAUAACUGACGUUGAGGCACGAAAGCGUGGGUAGCAAACAGGAUUAGAUACCCUUGUAGUC